UACGAGGGGGGCGAGCGUUGUUCGGAAUUAUUGGGCGUAAAGGGUGCGUAGGCGGUUUGGUAAGUCUGAUGUGAAAUCUAUGGGCUCAACUCAUAGUCUGCAUCGGAAACUGCCGGGCUUGAGUGUGGGAGAGGUGAGUGGAAUUCCUGGUGUAGCGGUGAAAUGCGUAGAUAUCAGGAGGAACACCUGUGGCGAAAGCGGCUCACUGGACCAUAAACUGACGCUGAUGCACGAAAGCUAGGGGGAGCAAACAGGAUUAGA
rnacentral:rRNA from 1 species